rnacentral:rRNA from 1 species
AUUGAACGCUGGCGGCAGGCCUAACACAUGCAAGUCGAACGGUAACAGGAAACAGCUUGCUGUUUCGCUGACGAGUGGCGGACGGGUGAGUAAUGUCUGGGAAACUGCCUGAUGGAGGGGGAUAACUACUGGAAACGGUAGCUAAUACCGCAUAACGUCGCAAGACCAAAGAGGGGGACCCUCGGGCCUCUUGCCAUCGGAUGUGCCCAGAUGGGAUUAGCUUGUUGGUGGGGUAACGGCUCACCAAGGCGACGAUCCCCAGCUGGUCUGAGAGGAUGACCAGCCACACUGGAACUGAGACACGGUCCAGACUCCUACGGGAGGCAGCAGUGGGGAAUAUUGCACAAUGGGCGCAAGCCUGAUGCAGCCAUGCCGCGUGUAUGAAGAAGGCCUUCGGGUUGUAAAGUACUUUCAGCGGGGAGGAAGGGAGUAAAGUUAAUACCUUUGCUCAUUGACGUUACCCGCAGAAGAAGCACCGGAUAACUCCGUGCCAGCACCCGCGGUAAUACGGAGGGUGCAAGCGUUAAUCGGAAUUACUGGGCGUAAAGCGCACGCAGGCGGUUUGUUAAGUCAGAUGUGAAAUCCCCGGGCUCAACCUGGGAACUGCAUCUGAUACUGGCAAGCUUGAGUCUCGUAGAGGGGGGUAGAAUUCCAGGUGUAGCGGUGAAAUGCGUAGAGAUCUGGAGGAAUACCGGUGGCGAAGGCGGCCCCCUGGACGAAGACUGACGCUCAGGUGCGAAAGCGUGGGGAGCAAACAGGAUUAGAUACCCUGGUAGUCCACGCCGUAAACGAUGUCGACUUGGAGGUUGUGCCCUUGAGGCGUGGCUUCCGGAGCUAACGCGUUAAGUCGACCGCCUGGGGAGUACGGCCGCAAGGUUAAAACUCAAAUGAAUUGACGGGGGCCCGCACAAGCGGUGGAGCAUGUGGUUUAAUUCGAUGCAACGCGAAGAACCUUACCUGGUCUUGACAUCCACGGAAGUUUUCAGAGAUGAGAAUGUGCCUUCGGGAACCGUGAGACAGGUGCUGCAUGGCUGUCGUCAGCUCGUGUUGUGAAAUGUUGGGUUAAGUCCCGCAACGAGCGCAACCCUUAUCCUUUGUUGCCAGCGGUCCGGCCGGGAACUCAAAGGAGACUGCCAGUGAUAAACUGGAGGAAGGUGGGGAUGACGUCAAGUCAUCAUGGCCCUUACGACCAGGGCUACACACGUGCUACAAUGGCGCAUACAAAGAGAAGCGACCUCGCGAGAGCAAGCGGACCUCAUAAAGUGCGUCGUAGUCCGGAUUGGAGUCUGCAACUCGACUCCAUGAAGUCGGAAUCGCUAGUAAUCGUGGAUCAGAAUGCCACGGUGAAUACGUUCCCGGGCCU